rnacentral:lncRNA from 1 species
CUCCUCUUCUCUCUCCCUAUUUUCUAGAUUACAACUAGAACUAACUAGAACUAGAACUAGAGGAACUAGAACUAGAACUAGAUGAACUAGAACUAGAUCUAGAUGAACUAGAGGUAGAACUAGAAGAACUAGAGGGAUCCUCUCUACUUGGAUGAAGAAUUGAAACCCUUGCUUUGAUUCUGUAGAAGAGGUAUGAUCUCCAGGGGCCAGGGGGGUCUGGUUUUAUAGUCCCUUCAAGUGAAUCUGGGCCGUCAGAUCAAACCGACAUUGAUCGUGUGGUUUUCCUUGAAGUACUAGGUCGGUGGAGCAUGAUCCCCGAACUUCACCCUGAUUGGUCCAGGGGGGAGGGCGGGCGCCCUCAGGACUAGGGCGGGCGCCCUGUCCCUGAGGCCUCUCGGCUUCCGCUUCGGUCCCGUGGCUUCUGGAGUCUUCUAGAUGAUAAAAAAUUGCGCGGCACGUUAAUAUCUCUAUGUAAACCCGACGUGUGGGCCUUUCCUCCAUAUUUCCUGAUAACCCCCUGCAGAAAUAGACAAACACCAAAACUCGUGGAAUUCUGUCAGAUAAAACCCUAAGUCUAGGUGUUGGUUGCAUUUGGAUCCUUUUCUAUGAUUAAUUGAUGGUUAAAUAUGAGCAUUAAGGACCGUCAACAAGCUCCCCCAAGCUUAACCUUUGCUCGUCCCUGAGCAAAGAUGAACUCAAGAGUUUCUGCAGUGGUUUCAUAACUUAAAGAUACACAUGCGUUUAAACAAGAUCUCAUCUCUAGUUAGAGUAAACUGUUAAGACUUAAAAUUUACUCAUUUUACCUUCUACCAUGGGGCUUGCAACCGUCACUUGUGUCUUGAGUAGUUAAAAGAUAGAACAGUCUAGUCAAGUGCCAUGUCUCUUAUUCUUGAUCAGCUAUAGCUCUGAGGUUUUUGCAGAUUUUCAAAUAAAACUCAGAGAUUCCUUGUAUGACUCUCUCUAGUCUCUCAUUUGUGGUAUUUCUGGAUCCUUACCAAGGCAGUAAUGGUAUAUGCCUUCUCUCAAAGUAUGUGGUAUUUGUGGUAUAAGGCAUAGUGGCAUUGCCUUCUCUCUCACCCUACCCUUAUAAGGUUUUGAUAUCUGGAGCUCAUAGGUGGGAGACAGCUAAUACAUACUUACAAGACAUUUAUUGCAUAGUCAAACCAUGGAUCUAGAAGAACAAGUCAAUAAGUCAAAUCAAGAUGUGCAUGUGUGGUGAAUGAAUGGUGUAUGGUGAUGAUGGUGAUAACAAUGGUGAAAGUCUAAUUCUACUUUUGCUCUUUUGAAGGGAUACAUACCUUCCUUGCUCUUUUGAAACUUUUUUUUUUUUUGAGGAGAAUGAGAUGCUCUAUAUUUUCUUUUUGUUUUCUCUCAGGUGGGUAACUUGUACCCCUAAUUCUACUAUCAAACACUUGUCCAUUUUUACCUCUCGUCUCACAUUUUCUUCUUUUUUUUUCUUUCGAGGUUCCGGGCACUUGCCCCUUUUUAUUUCCUCGUAUUCUUCUUUUUUUUUUCUUUUUUUUUGGAUCACUAAUCUCAUGAGAUAAUAUAGCAAGUGGUAGUAACAAGAUAACUUGAGCAUUUAUUUCACAGGGAAAAAAUAGAAAUAUUUUUUGGCUAUUCUCUCCCGGAUUAGGAGUAGAAUAUUUUUGGGUGGUUCUGGAGAUGGAAAUGGGUAUAUGUGGAUGGUACUUCCAGAGUAGAAGUAGCAUGUAUGAGUGAACGUGCAAGUGAAUCUUGACUUAACCACAUGACAAGCUCCUAAGGGUCUACACAGCUUGACCACACUCAAUGCUCAUAAGCAGUAAAAAGUAAAUGUGUGGCUCAAAGUCUAGCAAGCAUGUAUAUAUGGCUGUGGUAGGAAUUUAAACUCUCAUCAUACAGGAACUCAUCAUGUGAUAUUUUAAAGAUUUUCAAAGAUAAAAUUCUCCAGAAUUCUAGCAUCUCUAGGAACAGAUAAACAGCAGCUCAACCUUCCCAUAUCAUAUCCGUUAACGACUUAGACUUCAGAUCAAGUACUCUUCCCACAAGUUCAGGUUUAGAGCAAAUCUUAAUUCAUAACAGUGAUGCCUAAACUUGAGAGAGAUUUCAAUUUUGAGAACUAGUCAUGGUAGAGCAACUAUUCAUCAUUUCCAUGUGAGAGCUUAUCAUGAGGGUUCAUAGCAAACUUUAUUUAUUUAUUUAUUUAGCAAACUAAGCAAAGAUAUAUAUAAGCACAGAAUCUUUAUUUUGGUUUUUAUGAUUAUGCAUCUUUUUAUUAUUUGAGUAAAAUAUAAACGUGAGUAGAACACUUAGCUGGAUAAAUGGGAGUGCUCUCCCCCAAGCUAGAUUUUAACGUAAUUCCUUGUGAUGUAGCUAGCAGGUGGUGGAGGUGUAUUUGAAUGUCAGCAGCACCCUGACAGUGAUUAGGAUGUACUCCGUCUGCCAGUCUUCUUUGAUCCUUGAAUUCUGUGAAGCUCAAAUAGACAACAAAGCUUGGUGGAACUGGUUAAGUGUUAGCAUAAAUAUCUAGCCUUUAUCAUGUUGAGCCUCCUCAAUAAAUGUUACUCUUUUUAGUAGGAUCAUAAAUCUUUUUAUAGGACAGGAAUAUAUUUAUUUUAUUUUUACGCCACCACAGUGAAUGUACUUAUGGGUUUUAUGCCAUGAGCAUACUUACAUGGAGCUUACUAUUUUUAUCGUUUUUAUUUUCUUUUCAAGAUGAUAUGAACCUGAUUAACUAAGCAAACUAUUUUAAAAUAAUUGAAAGGACAAAGAUAACUACCAAGUUUACCUCUUGGCAAGGCGUCCGGUGUGUUUAAGUCUUCCGAACGGGACUCUCCGUUUUCUCUGUUGUCCUGGGAUUCGCUGGAUGGCAUAGUCGGUGGUUCCGGCAGAGCCUGCUCUUCGUGUAUAACUAUCUUCUCUCUCCACACCUGACUCGGUGCUACGGUCUUCUCAGGACAGUUCUGUUCAAGCUGUAUGUCUUCAGACCUCACUACUUCUCCUUCGUAGUCUGUCCAUCCAUCCUUGAUAAUUUGCCUCCUCUGGUUGCGGAUGCGUUGUCUUCUUCUUGUCCUGACCUGCUUAGAGUCUUCAACUAUAUAGUUAGGGUCAGUAAAAUAGUGGCGUACCUUCUUAGAGGGGAAGUGCAUGUGGACUUCUCCGGUUUCAAUGUAGAUGAUUGCUUUAACGGUGCUGAGAAACGGUCUCCUAUGAAUGAUGGGUGGAUCGUACUUGUCUUCAACCUUUCGGAAUGUCUGAUCUGCCAUCUGGAGCUGAAUGUAUGUCGGUUUUAGGGGCAUGGUUUCGAAUAGGAGCUGAUAGGUGACUGGGUCGUCCUUUUUGGUCAGGAAUGGUGACUUAAGUUGAUGAUCUUGACCUCCAUGAACUGCAGUGACCAUCUUAGCUGACUCAGUCUACAUUUGCUUGUUCCUGUUCCUCCUGUUGGUCCUAUUCCUUGGUUUAUGUCGGGAAUGCUCUGAGAUUUGUGUAGUCUUGUUCUUGAAGGAAAACGUCUCCUUUCUCCCUUUGAUGUAGAAACUGAUCUUGGCAGCACUAGCGUAGAUGACAGCUCCCGAGGUGUUCAGGAAUGGCCUCCCUAAGAUGGGUGCCCUCUCAUCAGUACCAGUCUCUAUCACCACGAAGUUUGCUGGGGCGUAUAAGGUUCCAACUCGGACGCAGAGGUUCUUCAAUAUUCCCUUUGGGAAACUUAGUGUCUGAUCUGCAGGCUGCAAGCACACGGUUGUUUCUAGUAAAGGAUGUGUAAAGAAUUUUUUCAUAGAGUACCUUGGGCAUAAUGUUGACGCUGGAGCCAAAGUCGCAGAGUGCUUCUAGGAAGUCCACCAUGCCGAUGGAGAUCGGGAUGACGGGCCGUCCUGGGUUGUCUCUCUUGACCGGCAUAAGGUCAGUAAUUACUUCCACAACGGGGUUACUCUAGUAGUUACGUCCUCAAGCAUCUCAGGACAGUGAUUGCCUGAGUGUCCAGUAUCUCCAGUGUGUUUGUGCUCGUAGAUCUAGGUUCUUCACUUAGUGGAGUCUGGGAGUUGUAAAAGUCCUUCAUAUUUUGCUCGAAGUGUACCUGCUCAUAGAGACAAGGCAGAGAUCAAGUGCAUGGGCCCUGUUGGUGGAAAACACCAACAGAACCAAAAGUGUAUUUGUUCUUCUCUAACCUCAAGCAUAGUGAGCAAGACAAAGUUAAUGGAUAAUAAGAUCAUGAGUGUAGCAUUUAAAGCAUUUGUCAGAUCAGAUCACUCAACCUAAUGGAAAGAUAAUCUAUCUAUACUUAUCUCUUUUUUUUAUAUAUAUCUUCCAAAGAUUGUGUGUGCAACAUUUAGUGUGGGAUCACAAAGGUGAAAGGACUAAACAUAUUGAAUCGAUUGGCUUGGUUAAUCUAGAAUUGUAAAUCAUACAUGUUUGUCUCUUUUAUUCAUGCGAAUGCUAGAACCAAGGAGAAGCUUAUAGAAGUGAUAGUCAAGUACCUUAAGAUGUUACCUUACUUGAAGAGUGAUGGUACAGUAUCACCUUGUGGAAGCUUUCCUUUCUUAGCGGUUGUGCAUCGUGUUUGUAGCACCCUCCAUGGAUCAUCUCUUGUGAGCUAUGCCUUCCUUGUGUAAAUUGUUAACCUUCAUGUGCUUCUCUCUUUGUCUCCAAUGUGAGUUUAUCUCAGGACUUCCCAGGUUGAUAUUGAAAGUUUUCCUGCAGGGGUUAGUCCAACAAAAUAUCCAAUAUCUACUAUAGCAUACUAUCGGCUCAAAAAUCAACCUAGACACCAUGUCUAAUUUGAUUUAGGAGGGCAUUUUAACCUAAGCAUCAUGCUUAAUUUAAACUCCCUUGGAAGUAAGAUCAUCAGCCCUAAACUAAGCACCAUGCUUAAUUAAGAGAUAAAUGAAACUACUCCAAACCUAGACAUAUACUAAAGCAAAUAAAGGUAGCAUGAGAGCAUUUAUAGAGAUCAACUCAAGUGGGGAUGAAGCAGUGUGAUUAGUAUUUAACAAAAUUGAGCAUGUCUCAAAGGUAGGGACAACCAACAUAGCAACAUGGCAAAGAAUGUUUUUAUGUAAAGUACUCCCCCAAGCUUGAAUUUUGCAAAAUUCAAGAUUGGAUGAAUUUAAUUCAAUGUUGCAUGAUGAUUGGUUCGACAUACCUUGUGCUUGUCAUUCAUCCGAUCUUCUUGCUCCAAUCCUGGAAAGGUUAGUGACAAGAAUACCCGAAGGAAUAUUUUUACAAUUAUCCUUAUAUGCUCAACACACAAGGUAAUGUUGCAAAUAAUUAAAAGCUCAUGUUAAGAUCUGAUCAGUGCUUGUUUUAGGACACUAAGCUUGUCCUUGGGAAACCAUUAAUUUAUGUCUGCGAAGUGGUUUCCCCUCCAACGCUGACCUAAUCAAGAUCAACUCAACGAGAUCUGCAAUAUAUAUUAUAGACAUAUGCAUCGACAACCACCCUUUUAAAGUUUUUAUAAAUAGAAAGGAAGAGGGGGUUGGAGAUCCCGAAUGUGGUGAUGUUGGAGAGACCAAUGGAUUGUGAAGAUGUUGCAUAUGAGCAUGGAGUAAGUGAAGUGGCUAUGAAAUAAAUUCCAUGCUCAUUAAUGCUUAGAGUGAAAUCCAUGUGGUAUGGUGAAAAUGGUAUGGUGAGUGUGGUAAAAAAAAGGAAAAGAAAAAGGAUACACGGACGACUUGGUUCGAAACUAGCACAGCUACCGUUCCCCGGCAACGGCGCCAGAAAGCUUGUUGGGUAUUUUAAACGCAAACAGAAAAAUCCGCAAGCGCACGGAUACCGAUGUAGCCUUCACCCGGGAGUAUUCCAGAGUAUCGAUUUUCCACAGGGAACGUGAGUGUACUAAUUAAGAUUCAAGAUCGCCCAAGGAUAACUAUAUAAUUGUUUUUGGUGGGAAGAGAGGAAGUUUCCUGAGAGUUCUCUAGUUGAUCUAAGAAUCAAGAAUUACUUCAAGAUUAUCUAUAUCGGGACAUCAGAGCACUAACCACAGAAAGAGAUGAGAAGGGGGCUAGGAAGGUCUGACUACGGUCCUACAAACACCGAUCCGAACGUGGUGGAAUACGUCGACCGUUAGGGCUGUCACUACCCUAGGGCUACCACAACAAUCCGCAGGAUUGGGUGCAAUUCCAGGUAAUCGCAAGACUAAACACCACGUCUAAUCUAUUAAUUACUACUCUAGCGUUAUAAAGACUAGAGCACUUGAUGCAAGCGAGAAUCCAAUAAAUAACUUGAAUGUAAAUAAAAGUAAUUAAAGAACUCAGGAAUUAUGAAUUGAAAAACCUGGAGAACGAUGAAGAACGAACCAGAUGCUGCAAAAGUAUAAUGUUGAGGAAGAUCCGAUAGAUCCGGCUCCUCCUCCGCUCUCCUCUUCUCUCUCCCUAUUUUCUAGAUUACAACUAGAACUAACUAGAACUAGAACUAGAGGAACUAGAACUAGAACUAGAUGAACUAGAACUAGAUCUAGAUGCACUAGAGGUAGAACUAGAAGAACUAGAGGGAUCCUCUCUACUUGGAUGAAGAAUUGAAACCCUAGCUUCGAUUCUGUAGAAGAGGUAUGAUCUCCAGGGGCCAGGGGGGUCUGGUUUUAUAGUCCCUUCAAGUGAAUCUGGGCCGUCAGAUCAAACCGACAUUGAUCGUGUGGUUUUCCUUGAAGUACUAGGUCGGUGGAGCAUGAUCCCCGAACUUCACCCUGAUUGGUCCAGGGGGGAGGGCGGGCGCCCUCAGGACUAGGGCGGGCGCCCUGUCCCUGAGGCCUCUCGGCUUCCGCUUCGGUCCCGUGGCUUCUGG